rnacentral:rRNA from 1 species
GAUCUCAACUCAUACGUGACUACCCCCUGAAUUUAAGCAUAUUAAUA